UACGAGAGGCCCGAGCGUUAAUCGGAAUCACUGGGCUUAAAGGGUGCGCAGGCUGGUCCGUGUGUGUGUCGUGAAAUCCCCCGGCUCAACCGGGGAAUUGCGGCGCAAACUGCGGACCUUGAGGCAGGUAGGGGUCGUUGGAACGAUCGGUGGAGCGGUGAAAUGCGUUGAGAUCGAUCGGAACGCCGAAGGUGAAGACAAGCGACUGGGCCUGACCUGACGCUCAUGCACGAAAGCGUGGGGAGCAAACAGG
rnacentral:rRNA from 1 species